rnacentral:rRNA from 1 species
GAGGUGCGAAGGCGAUCAGAUACCGCCCUAGUUCUAACCAUAAACGAUGCCAGCCAGCGAUCCGGCUGCGUUCCUCAAAUGACGCGCCGGGCAGCUUCCGGGAAACCAAAGCUUUUGGGUUCCGGGGGAAGUAUGGUUGCAAAGCUCGAACUUAAAGGAAUUGACGGAAAAGCACUACAAGGGGUGGAUCCUGCGGCUCAAUUUGACUCAACACAGUGAAUCUCACCCGUUCCGUACACAGGAAGGAUUGACAGAUUAAGAGCUCUUUCUUGAUUCUGUGGGAGGUGGUGCAUGGCCAUUCCUAGUUGGUGGAGUGAUUUGUCUGCUUUAUUGCGUCAACGAACGAGAUUCUAACCUGCUAAAUAGGCGUUUCCGAUCCUUCGAGUCGGACGCUCUUCUUAGAGGGACAGGCGGCGUUCAGCCGCACGAGACAGAGCAAUAGUAGGUCUGUGAUGCCCUUUGAUGUACGGGGCCGCACGCGCGAUACAUUGAAGGAAUCAGCGUGUGCUUUCCCUGUCCGACAGGACUGGGUAACCCGUUGAACCUCCUUCGUGCUGGGGAUAGCGACUUGCAAUUAUUUCGCUUGAACGAGGAACCCCUAGUAAGCACGAGUCAUCAGCUCGUGUUGACUAUGUCCCUGCUCUUUGUGCACACCGCCCGUCGCUACUACCGAUUGAAUGGCUUAGUGAGGUCUUCGGACUGGCGCUCGGAUUGGCUCACUGGGUCGAGCCGACGUGCCGGAAAGAUGACCAAACUUGACCAUUUAGAGGAAGUA